rnacentral:misc_RNA from 1 species
GUGAAUCAUCGAAUUUUUGAACGCAAAUUGCACUCUCUGCGGAGAGUAGGCGUGUUUGAGGGUCAGCCUAAUGAAAAUCGACGUAUUUUCGAUUGCGCGGUGGCAUUCGUCUGGAAUUGGGUGGUCUUAAACCUUUGGGAUUUUUAAUCGGCUUAAAAUUUUCUUUACGAUUCCACUAACGUUUCUAAGGUUUUACUUCUUACACACGUUUAAGUUAUCGAUCUUUAUUAGACGUGUCCGUUAC